rnacentral:lncRNA from 1 species
GUAGAGAGGCAGCCCCGCCAGACCCUGCAAGACCAUAGGAAUGGCAAGGAACCUGAGGAACCAGCGUGAGGAAAACCUGGAUGAUCUGACGUCUUCCUCACUUUAUCCCUACCUGUCCACGCCUCCAUCCAUCCACCCAUCCAUCACUGAUCAAGCUCUCACUAUGUCUAUAGUGUAGAAGGUGCCACCAAAUGCAAUGGAACCUCUUGUCUCAUGUGUCUACUUGCAUCUUUAAGUUGAUACACGGAAGGCACAGUCCAAGCACAGGAUACUGGAAGCUAUGGAGGUACAGUGGCCUCUGAGCAAACUGAAAACUCUCUAUCACUAAAGGGUUGGGCAUACAGGGUAUCUCCUCUGCUCUGCCACCUACCUUGAGGAUGCUUUACAUGUGGCUAAAAGUGGAG